rnacentral:tRNA from 1 species
UCCCUGGUGGCCUAGAGGUUAAAGCAUCUGCUUGCAAUGCAGGAGACCCAGGUUCAAUCCCUGGGUUGAGAA